AUACCUACGGGAGGCAGCAGUAGGGAAUCUUCCACAAUGGACGAAAGUCUGAUGGAGCAACGCCGCGUGAGUGAAGAAGGGCUUCGGCUCGUAAAACUCUGUUGGUAGUGAAGAAAGAUAGAGGGAGUAACUGUCCUUUAUUUGACGGUAAAUAAUUAGAAAGUCACGGCUAACUACGUGCCAGCAGCCGCGGUAAUACGUAGGUGGCAAGCGUUGUCCGGAUUUAUUGGGCGUAAAGCGAGUGCAGGCGGUUUCAUAAGUCUGAUGUGAAA
rnacentral:rRNA from 1 species